CCUACGGGUGGCAGCAGUGAGGAAUAUUGGUCAAUGGCCGGAAGGCUGAACCAGCCAAGCCGCGUGAAGGACGAAGGUGCCAAGCAUUGUAAACUUCUUUUGUCAAGGGACAAAAUCAGGCUCGAGAGCCUGACCGAGGGUACUUGAAGAAAAAGCAUCGGCUAACUCCGUGCCAGCAGCCGCGGUAAUACGGGGGAUGAGAGCGUUAUCCGGCGUUAUUGGGUUUACAGGGUACGUAGGCGGGCUGUUCAGUCAGCGGUAAAAGCCCGGGGCUCAUCCCCGGCGAGCCGUUGACACUGGCUGUCUUGAGAUGGCGAGAGGUAUGCGGAAUGCGCAGUGGAGCGGGGAAAUGCUUAGAUAUUGCGCAGAACUCCGAUUGCGAAGGAAGCAUACCGGCGGCGAUCUGACGCUGAGGCACGAAAGCGUGGGUAUCGAACAGGAUUAGAUACCCGGGUAGUC
rnacentral:rRNA from 1 species